ensembl:lncRNA
CUCAGACAUGGCUGAACCACCAGCUAGCUGAGGUACUUCAGCACCUCUGGAAAGAAAGCAAGAGCUCUGUAUGGCAUACGGGGAGGGCUUUCAACAGGUGACAGAACAUUCUUAGAACUUUGCUGCUUGUUACUCCCCAAGAGAGGAUUCAUCAAAUUGGAUGUAUUAGGUCAUUUCAUAUAGUCAGGAGCAAGAUACAUCCAGCAUCAUCACCUAAAAAUGCAUAAUUGUCAAGUCAUUAUGGCCAUCUUGCAAAAGUUGUGGUAGUAAAAGCAAACUUAAUGACUUGAUGAAUAUGACCAGCAGCAUUGAAGAGUGAUCUUGCUGCCUCACUCCUAACUGGAUUUCUUCAGCAUGAGGUGCCUCCUCAUCAAAAGCCAUUACCCUUAAUGGUAAGCUGUGCAUCAGUCUGCUCAAAGUAUCUCAGGGCAUUGGAGGACUUUACAGUAACUAAAAUGGUUGUGGCAGGCUAUGCACUGCCUGAGCUGCAGCUAAAAAGUACUUGAGAGUGCUUGGAGGUGCACAGACUGCUAGGACUGUCCUGGAGAGAGCAUCACAUCCACCACACACUGGGUAAGUGCUUGUUGCAGUGAACUGUAUCUCCAGAAAAUUUCAAGGCAUUCUGAAGAGAAAUCUGGAAGGAACAUCACAAAACAGAGCCAGGAAGCAAGAAGAAUCAGGGAUCUAUUCCUUACCUUUAUUCCCUGGCCCUCUGGCAUGACUUCAGCAUACUUAGUACUCUAUAGCACGUUCAGUGAUCAAGAUAAAACAUCACCUUCAAGCUUGAUUCAGCAUAGUACCUUUGUGUCUGUAUGUACAUCAACAAAUGCAUGCAGACAUACAAAAAAAGUCUGGAUACAAAAUCAAGACCUGAACCAAAAGAAAACACUGAAGUCUUGGAAUAGCAUCAUAAAACAACCAGACAAUGAACCAUUUGUAUAACUUAUAAAUUAUUUUUCUAAUGUCUCAUUUAUAGAAAUAAGUGAUUUAGUUGUAGGAACUUCCAUUUACAAGGAGUGAAUGCAUAGUUUCUUUUGUUCAGCAUGCUAUUUUGGCAGUGAUACAGAAAUGCCUACUGAUGUUUCUCAAUUGCUGUCAGGUCUUUAAUAUUUCCAUACUUAAUGCCUAUCAUUGCGUCUUAUCACUUUUUUUUUUUCCAUUACCCUAUCCCCAAAUGCUGGCUUACCGAAAAGGUGAAUCACCCAUUCCCAGUUUUUGUGUAACAGAUAAGGGAAACAACUGAAGAUGAACGUGAGGCUGGUAUAUGUCAGUAAGCACUGCAAUGCAGGGAAGAUUUGGAAGUAUGCACUCAAAUAUUUCAUUUCCUGUGCUUGACUGGGAUCAGAGCAUUCAUAACCCCCUAAGUCUGCAAUCUGAGUUAGCAAAGUUAGAAACACAUUUUUUGUGGCCCAAAAUUUACUUUGUGAUAUGAAAAUAUCCCCUAUUUAUUUUCUUCUUGCAUGACAUUGCACAAGUCAUUGCAUAUAAUAAAUCAACUGGGAGGACAAACUUUUUCAAGCUCUGUCAGGGAGGCUCUGAGCUCCUUUUCUCUGAGUGCAAUAAGUGACCCUGCUCUGAAACACUGGAAAAGCGUUGAAAGCAAAACAAAGAAAUGUUUUCCAUUGCUUAGACUUAUGAGAGGUAUUUCUACUGUGGCAACAAGAGGCAUAGCUCAAAUCAAAGUCUGGAAACUAAAAAUAUUUUUUAAAAUUAAAAAUAGAAUUCCUGUGAAAUAAGUAUAACAAAUUUACUAGUCCUGAGGCAUUAAAAAAUGUCAUUUACCUUUCACUUUCUGAGUUGAUCAAUUGAUUGUUCACCUCCCAGUUUCUCUUCAUCUCACAGGAAGUUAGUGCUAUAGAGUGGUGUUCCUCAAAUAACUUCCCAAACAGAUUGUUUAACAUGUUGCCUUGUACAAAAUUCCAGUAGUAUUACCAUAUAUGAUUGCAUUUUAAAUAAAAUAACAUUUGUAACUGC